rnacentral:rRNA from 1 species
GAUGAACGCUGGCGGCGUGCCUAAUACAUGCAAGUCGAGCGAACGGACGAGAAGCUUGCUUCUCUGAUGUUAGCGGCGGACGGGUGAGUAACACGUGGAUAACCUACCUAUAAGACUGGGAUAACUUCGGGAAACCGGAGCUAAUACCGGAUAAUAUUUUGAACCGCAUUGUUCAAAAGUGAAAGACGGUCUUGCUUUCACUUAUAGAUGGAUCCGCGCUGCAUUAGCUAGUUGGUAAGGUAACGGCUUACCAAGGCAACGAUGCAUAGCAGACCUGAGAGGGUGAUCGGCCACACUGGAACUGAGACACGGUCCAGACUCCUACGGGAGGCAGCAGUAGGGAAUCUUCCGCAAUGGGCGAAAGCCUGACGGAGCAACGCCGCGUGAGUGAUGAAGGUCUUCGGAUCGUAAAACUCUGUUAUUAGGGAAGAACAUAUGUGUAAGUAACUGUGCACAUCUUGACGGUACCUAAUCAGAAAGCCACGGCUAACUACGUG